rnacentral:rRNA from 1 species
AGCGAACGCUGGCGGCAGGCCUAACACAUGCAAGUCGAACGAACCUUUCGGGGUUUGUGGCGGACGGGUGAGUAACACGUGGGAACGUGCCCUUAGGUUCCGAAUAACUCACUGAGACUUGUGUUAAUACCGAAUGUGCCCUUCGGGGGAAAGAUUUCUCGCCGUUUGAGGGGCCGGGGUCUGUUUAGCUAGUUGGUUGAGGUAAUGGCUCGCCAAGGCGACGAUGUGUAGCUGGGCUGAGCGGAGGAUUAGCCACGUUGGGAAUGCGACACGGACCAAAAUCGGACGGAAGGGAGGAGUAGGGAGUCUUGUGGAAGGAGGGAAGGCGUGACGCAGCCGUGCGGGGGAAAUGAGGAAGGGCGUAGGAUUGUGAAAUUCUUUCUGCGGAGGCGUGAAUGACGGUAAUCGGUGAAGAAGCACCGGCUAACUUCGUG